rnacentral:rRNA from 1 species
UACGGGGGGAGCAAGCGUUGUUCGGAUUUACUGGGCGUAAAGGGCGCGUAGGCGGCGCAAUAAGUCACUUGUGAAAUCUCCGGGCUUAACUCGGAAAGGUCAAGUGAUACUGUUGUGCUAGAGUGCGGAAGGGGCAACUGGAAUUCUCGGUGUAGCGGUGAAAUGCGUAGAUAUCGAGAGGAACACCUGAGGCGAAGGCGGGUUGCUGGGCCGACACUGACGCUGAUGCGCGAAAGCCAGGGGAGCGAACGGG